CAGGUAGCUCAGUCGGUAGAGCAGAGGACUGAAAAUCCUCGUGUCGGUGGUUCGAUUCCACCCCUGG
rnacentral:tRNA from 1 species